GUGCCAGCCGCCGCGGUAAUACCGGCAGCCCGAGUGAUGGCCGAUCUUAUUGGGCCUAAAGCGUCCGUAGCUGGCCACGCAAGUCCAUCGGGAAAUCCACCUGCCCAACAGGUGGGCGCCCGGUAGAAACUGCGUGGCUUGGGACCGGAAGGCGCGACGGGUACGUCCGGGGUAGGAGUGAAAUCCCGUAAUCCUGGACGGACCGCCGAUGGCGAAAGCACGUCGCGAGGACGGAUCCGACAGUGAGGGACGAAAGCCAGGGUCUCGAACCGGAUU
rnacentral:rRNA from 1 species